rnacentral:rRNA from 4 species
AGAGUUUGAUCCUGGCUCAGGAUGAACGCUGGCGGCGUGCCUAAUACAUGCAAGUCGAGCGAACGGACGAGAAGCUUGCUUCUCUGAUGUUAGCGGCGGACGGGUGAGUAACACGUGGAUAACCUACCUAUAAGACUGGGAUAACUUCGGGAAACCGGAGCUAAUACCGGAUAAUAUUUUGAACCGCAUGGUUCAAAAGUGAAAGACGGUCUUGCUGUCACUUAUAGAUGGAUCCGCGCUGCAUUAGCUAGUUGGUAAGGUAACGGCUUACCAAGGCAACGAUGCAUAGCCGACCUGAGAGGGUGAUCGGCCACACUGGAACUGAGACACGGUCCAGACUCCUACGGGAGGCAGCAGUAGGGAAUCUUCCGCAAUGGGCGAAAGCCUGACGGAGCAACGCCGCGUGAGUGAUGAAGGUCUUCGGAUCGUAAAACUCUGUUAUUAGGGAAGAACAUAUGUGUAAGUAACUGUGCACAUCUUGACGGUACCUAAUCAGAAAGCCACGGCUAACUACGUGCCAGCAGCCGCGGUAAUACGUAGGUGGCAAGCGUUAUCCGGAAUUAUUGGGCGUAAAGCGCGCGUAGGCGGUUUUUUAAGUCUGAUGUGAAAGCCCACGGCUCAACCGUGGAGGGUCAUUGGAAACUGGAAAACUUGAGUGCAGAAGAGGAAAGUGGAAUUCCAUGUGUAGCGGUGAAAUGCGCAGAGAUAUGGAGGAACACCAGUGGCGAAGGCGACUUUCUGGUCUGUAACUGACGCUGAUGUGCGAAAGCGUGGGGAUCAAACAGGAUUAGAUACCCUGGUAGUCCACGCCGUAAACGAUGAGUGCUAAGUGUUAGGGGGUUUCCGCCCCUUAGUGCUGCAGCUAACGCAUUAAGCACUCCGCCUGGGGAGUACGACCGCAAGGUUGAAACUCAAAGGAAUUGACGGGGACCCGCACAAGCGGUGGAGCAUGUGGUUUAAUUCGAAGCAACGCGAAGAACCUUACCAAAUCUUGACAUCCUUUGACAACUCUAGAGAUAGAGCCUUCCCC